rnacentral:rRNA from 1 species
AUUGAACGCUGGCGGCAUGCUUUACACAUGCAAGCCGAACGGUAACAGGCCGCAAGGUGCUGACGAGUGGCGAACGGGUGAGUAAUGCAUCGGAACGUGCCCAGUCGUGGGGGAUAACGCAGCGACAGCUGCGCUAAUACCGCAUACGAUCUAUGGAUGAAAGCGGGGGACCGUAAGGCCUCGCGCGAUUGGAGCGGACGAUGUCAGAUUAGGUAGCUGGUGGGGUAAAGGCUCACCAAGCCAACGAUCUGUAGCUGGUCUGAGAGGACGACCAUGCACACUGGGGCUGAGACACGGCCCAGAAUCCUACGAGAGGCAGCAGUGGGGAAUUUUGGACAAUGGGCGCAAGCCUGAUCCAGCAAUGCCGCUUGCAGGAAGAAGGCCUUCGUGUUGUAAACUGCUUUUGUACGGAACGAAAAGGCUCUGGUUAAGACCUGGGGCUCAUGACGGUACCGUAAGAAUAAGCACCGGCUAACUACGUGCCAGCCGCCGCCGCAG